AAGGAACCUUGGAACAUUAGGAGGGAAGAAAGAACGUGGUCAUCUGAAGUGCUUAGGCCUCAAGAGAUCUUGAACAUUUUCACUUGCUCUCCUGGAACCCUGAUGCUGCCACGUGAACAAGCCCAGGCAACCUUACUGGAAGAAGAGAAGCAUCAACUCCAACACAUGAGUGAGGUUAUCCUAGACCAGCCAAACCCCAUCAACCACAAACAUGAGUAAGCCCUGCAGAGACCCACCGAGCCCAAUCCGGAUCAACCAAACCUCCCAGCCUGCUUUAAACUUGGAUGAAGAAACUGAGGCUCAAAGAGGCUUGGCCAAGACCACAGAGCCAGCACUCAAUGUCAUUCCCUCUACCAUGCAGCGGGCUCCCCUCUGCCAUCUCCAGCCGCCUGAAGCAGGGCCCAGCAUGAAUGAGACAGCUGGCAGAGUGAGAGCUGUGCUCACCACCUCAGCUCAGUGGCCCCCUGGGGGACCUGGGCCGUGACCUUGGCCUCAUUACUGCAUCGGACCUGUAAUCAGAUGCUUAGAAGGUCUGCAGAGAUCCACCCAGCCUGGAUCAUGGGGUAGAGACCCGCACGGCAAGCUGGAAGAUGUAGCCUCUUUGAAAUCACACCAUUCACUGGGGGACUCUCAAGGGUUCAUCACACUCCACUGGGUCCUGGCCAUCUGCUCUGUCCAUUUGAUGGACAAAUGGACAGCAAAGAGGGCUAGGGAUGUAUGACCUUUCUAAAAUAUGUAUGAAUAAAAAAACACUUUCUUUAGACAAGACAGAAUAAGAAUAGCGAAAAAUACCCAGCAGCUCCCUUUACCGAGCAUGCCCUGCAUUGGAGACACUUAGGUCACCACUGUACACCCAUUGUCCUUUUUAUCCUCCCCCCAAACCCCACUGGGUGGAAUAUAAAGCUGCAGAGACAGCCAGGCAC
rnacentral:lncRNA from 10 species